rnacentral:lncRNA from 1 species
UGUUCUACAAGCCUUCAGAAAACAAAGCGUUUGUUGCUCGAAGAGGAUUCUUCAUUGAGAGGGAUCUCAUUUCCAAAGAGGAUAGUAGGAGCCACAUAGACCUUGAAGAGCUUCAAGAGACAAAUGAAGAAGAACCUUUAGUAGACACUAGCACUCAACCUGAGGUGCAACAACCCACUGUUGAACCUCAACCCGGGGCUAAGCAACCUGUUGAGAAAAAUGAUAUAUCUCCACCUCCCCUUCGUAGAUCCAAUAGAAUUCGUUAUCCUCCUGAGUUCUAUAAUCGUGUUUGGGAUUUAACUGAGUUGAUUUAAGGUUAUUCUUGAUGGUCAAAAUUGAAAAGGUCAAAAUUGGAAUUAUUGAUCUGUGAACGGUGUAAUCGGAUUUGAAGUACAGGUAUCAGAAGCACAUCUUUCAUUUGUCAUUGGAAUCGGAUUUCAUGGUCAAAAUUGUGAGCUUACCUGCGAACUUUUGUUGUCCGCGACUCGCAGCGAACUUGUGUUCGAAUUCAUUUCAACUACCUAUGAAUGAAACCGGGACUCAAUCGGGAAGAACUUAAGUCAAACGAAAGUCAAAAUUAAACUAUUGGAACUUUAGUUCGCUUUUGUAUCAAUGGAUUUGGUAUGAACCUGGAGAGAACCUAGGUUCCGUUGGUUGUGCUUCAAACGAAGGUGACUCAGAUUCGAGUCUUCAUGAUAGGAAGCGAUGGAAUUGAUUGGAAUCGGUACUUUGGUUUUCGUCUACGAUUUGAUUCAUUCCAAUUGUUCUUUUAAUUAGUCGAUAUAUGGGAAGAAGACACAAUGUUACAUUUUGGUCCCUAUAACUCCAGCGAAUUGGCACUUUUGGUCGCUGUUGUUUUCAUAGUUUGAUACUUUUGGACCAAUCCCAGAAAUUGUUACAAAUAAAGGGGUAUAUUGAUGCAUAACUACCAUUCCAGCCCCUGUCUUUCAGCAAGUAACAGUUUCGGCCCAAUAUUCAGAAAAGUUUAUAACUUUGUGGGCCGGUGAACACUUUUGAAAUCUUUAAUGCAUAUAUUUUUUUUCGUGAACACAAAAUUAUGGAUUCCAUCAAGUCUUGGCGGUUCGGAAAAUCCUUUUUGCUGAUAACGUCAAAUUUUUACGACUUUUUCGGAUUUUAUACUUCAUUGUAUAUAUCAUUUUGUCGCGGGGGAGCACAGUAAUUUUUUAUCCAUUGGAGAUCAUUCUCAUGACCAUUUGAAAGCUUUAUAAUCAUGAUUUCGAUUAUAAAUCGGGGGAGAAUUUGGUAUGGCCGUUCGAAAUUGGAUUUGUGACUUUUCAAAGUUGAAGAUUUUUGAUAAAGCUUGUGGUAGAAUUAUGAAGGUAGCUUUUACAGCGGAAGUUCUUCAUCGAGCUCUGCUAAAGCUUUUACAGAGAAGAACCUUUACAAUGGAAGUUCUUUAUUGAGCUCUGCUAAGGACUUGUUAUAUCUCCGACUUCUAGUAUUUUCUCGAUCAAGUGGCAUUACGAAUCUUAAUGUUUGGGUUGUUACAUGAUAUUUAUUGAUGGCUUACGUCAUUAGCUUAUUUGAAGUUCAUUGUGACUUGGAGGGGGAACUCUUCAAAGACAAGAAGUGAUUCGGUUUCAUUGUUCUGAAAUGGGUUUUUAUGGCGGGUUUGGUUUUCAUGAAGAUUUUUUGGGAUUACAUUUGAAAAUAAAGUUUAAAGACAUUACUUCAGUGCUUGAUUUGUAUAUCCUAGAGCCCGUGUUUGAAGACUAUUGAAGAACCAAGAUUCGUGGAUUGCUUCAUCUAUUCCUCGUUGCAAGAUCUUUUUAUUUGCUAGAUGCUUGUUUUGGAAGUUAAAGCAUUGUCAUCCAUUCCAUACUUUGAGGGGGAGAUUGUAGGGUUUCAAAGCACUCCAUGGGUGAUGACAAUGGGCCCCUUGAUGAAGUGUAGGUUAAAAGCCCAAGACUUGUCUUUUCCCUAUAAAUAGUCAUGUAUUAUUCAUAAUUAGGGUUAAGAGUGAGGCAAAAUGUAGCCGCCACGUUGUGAGGUUUCUUAUGUAGUGUUAGAUUCUUUAGUCUAUGCUGAAAGUGUAAUAUAUUCCUCAUGUUUGAAUAAAUCGAGUGAUCAUUCGACAUAAUCUUCAUAUUUUGUGUUUGUUCUUAUUUUCCGCAUCUUGUUCAUCAAAUCUCAAUUAGGGUUUUAAUCCCAACACGAACUUUGUUAGACAUGGUUCGAUCUUUGAUGAGUUGAGCUACACUUUCGAUAUCUUUUUCGUGGUAUGCCUUAGAGACAGCAUCCCAUAUCCUAAACCUCGUACCUACUAAGAAGGUUGCUAAAACACCCUCUAAAAUAUGGAGUGGGACACGUCCUUCUCUAGCACAUAUAAAGGUUUGGGGAUGCGAAGCUUUUAUUCAUUGCGAGGCGAAUGACAAGCUCGAACCCCGGUCAGAGAAGUGUUACUUCAUUGGUUAUCCACAAAAUUUGUUUGGAUACUUGUUCUACAAGCCUUCAGAAAACAAAGCGUUUGUUGCUCGAAGGGGAUUCUUCCUUGAGAGGGAUCUCAUUUCCAAAGAGGACAGUGGGAGCCACAUAGACCUUGAAGAGCUUCAAGAGACAAAUGAAGAAGAACCUUUAGUAGUCACUAGCACUCAACCUGAGGUGCAACAACCGACUGAUGAACCUCAAACCGGGGCUGAGCAACCUGUUGAGAAAAAUGAUAUAUCUCCACCUCCCCUUCGUAGAUCCAAUAGAAUUUGUUAUCCUCCUGAGUUCUAUAAUCGUGUUUGAGAUUUAACUGAGUUGAUUUAAGGUUGUUCUUGAUGGUCAAAAUUGAAAAGGUCAAAAUUGGAAUUAUUGAUCUGUGAACGGUGUAAUCGGAUUUGAAGUACAGGUAUCGGAAGCACAUCUUUCAUCUGUCAUUGGAAUCGGAUUUCAUGGUCAAAAUUGUGAGCUUACCUGCGAACUUUUGUUGUCCGCGACUCGCAGCGAACUCGUGUUCGAAUUCGUUUCAACAACCUUUGAAUGAAAUCGGGACUCAAUCGGGAAGAACUUAAGUCAAAC